rnacentral:rRNA from 1 species
UACAGAGGGUGCAAGCGUUAAUCGGAAUUACUGGGCGUAAAGCGUGCGUAGACGGUUAUUUAAGUCAGGUGUGAAAGCCCCGGGCUCAACCUGGGAAUGGCAUUGGAAACUGGCGAGCUAGAGUGUGGCAGAGGGGGGUGGAAUUCCGCGUGUAGCAGUGAAAUGCGUAGAGAUGCGGAGGAACACCGAUGGCGAAGGCAGCCCCCUGGGCUGACACUGACGCUCAGGCACGAAAGCGUGGGGAGCAAACAGG